CCUUCAGGGGUAAGGGUCUUCAUGGGUCGUACCCCGUCACCUUCAGGGGUAAGGUUCUUAAUGGGUCGUACCCCGUCACCUUCAGAGGUAAGGGUCUUCAUGGGUCGUACCCUGUCACCUUCAAGGGUAAGGGUCUUCAUGGGUCGUACCCCGUCACCUUCAGGGGUAAGGGUCUUCAUGGGUCGUACCCCGUCACCUUCAGGGGUAAGGGUCUUCAUGGGUCGUACCCCGUCAUCUUCAGAGGUAAGGGUCUUCAUGGGUCUUACUCCGUCACCUUCAGAGAUAAGGGUCUUCAUGGGUCUUACUCCGUCACCUUCAGAGGUAAGGGUCUUCAUGGGUCUUACUCCGUCA